rnacentral:rRNA from 1 species
AUUGAACGCUGGCGGCAUGCUUUACACAUGCAAGUCGAACGGUAACAGGCCGCAAGGUGCUGACGAGUGGCGAACGGGUGAGUAAUGCAUCGGAACGUGCCCAGUCGUGGGGGAUAACGCAGCGAAAGCUGUGCUAAUACCGCAUACGUACUGAGGUAGAAAGUGGGGGACCUUCGGGCCUCACGCUAUUCGAGCGGCCGACGUCUGAUUAGCUAGUUGGUGAGGUAAAGGCUCACCAAGGCGACGAGCAGUAGCGGGUCUGAGAGGAUGAUCCGCCACACUGGGACUGAGACACGGCCCAGACUCCUACGGGAGGCAGCAGUGGGGAAUUUUGGACAAUGGGCGCAAGCCUGAUCCAGCCAUGCCGCGUGUCUGAAGAAGGCCUUCGGGUUGUAAAGGACUUUUGUCCGGGAGCAAAUGCUGGUGGCUAACAUCCACUGGAGCUGAGAGUACCGGAAGAAUAAGCACCGGCUAACUACGUGCCAGCCGCCGCGGUAAUAC